rnacentral:tRNA from 1 species
GGCGAGAUGGCCGAGCGGUCUAAGGCGCCAGACUAAGGAUCUGGUCCGAAAGGGCGUGGGUUCGAAUCACCGCGGGCAUUUUCCCA